ACCUCAGCCAAUGAAAAAUAAAGAUUUAUUUCUCUUAAAAAGCAACAACAACAAUUAAGACGCCGUAGUAACCAAUAUGUCCUUUCCCAAUUACUUUCAAUCACUUCAUCUACUUUCUUUUGUCAUUCUUCCAGAGUCAUUCUUUCCCAGUCCCCCACCCUUAAUUUGAAGGAGAAAUUAGAUGCCUUCUCAACUUCUAUCUUUGUCCACUUCAUCUCUGGCAAAAUCAGGAACUCCAUCUCGCAUGCAUAAUUGAAACCCUUGUUUUAGGCUUUCAGUGGCCAAUAGGUGAGAAACUCUAUUUGCUGAUCGCCUAACAUGUUGAAACUGACAAUGAGGGCAUCUCCUUCAAUCUCAGCCUCCAAGAGCCCUAGAUCCAGGCCAAACAUCAAGCUUUGGAUACAUGCAAGGGUUUUUUGCUGUGAAAAUAGAAGGUAUAUUCUCAUUAAUAAUCGUUUUAGAACCCAGAACAUUGCAUUCUGAAUUUCUAAUAAUCAUUCCUGAACAUGACCUAUUUUCAUGUUGUUUGAGAAAUGCAUCAAAAUUUAUCCUAACAACUGAGUUCUCCGGAGGCCUCCAUGUCACUGCUUCCACUCUACAAAAAGCCAUUUAUUCUGUUCAGUCCAAAUAGCCCAAGUCACAAUAACCAACGUUCGACAUUGAGAGCUGGAGUUAUCAUCGAAAAACUAGGGCAGUCCCUCAAAGCAUGUUCUCUGGAUUCAUACUCCCUUGAGUAUCGCAGGCAUAGGGCUGAAUUGACUAAUCUCUUGUAGUGUAGAUUACAAAAAGUAGGCAGGAAUUUUUUUGUAAAUCUCCCGAAUGUAAGCUUUAUUUUUUAGGGUAGGUUCAUACCCCAUAAUUUUUUUUAUAAAUAUCUACAUACACUGUCUAGUUGGUUGUAUGAUUAGUGCCCUUAGGGUAAUGUAAUAGAGUGCUGUACACACUCCGAAUAGUAAAAUCCCAGAUGCCACCCCUUUCCAUACCAAAAAGUCUUCAUGCUGGAACUUGGCUAGUGGGAUUUUCAAAAUACGACUGGCAUCUAUAUCAGUAAAGAUCCUUAAACCCACGCAGCCUCCCUAACAGGAAUUUUAGUUCUAGUCCCAACAAGCCAAUACAAACCAUCCUGAAGAAUUCCUUUGGUCGCCCAAAAUACUUUUCUAGGUAUAGGAAGGUAUAUUUCCUAACCCAACACUCAAGAAAUCCCUAUAUGGAUAGUAUUUUGCUUUCAAAGUGCGUGCAAGUAAUGAAUUCGGAUAAGUAAAUAGACGUCAA